rnacentral:lncRNA from 1 species
ACCCAUGUUUUUGUAUAAGGCUGUAAUGCCAUCUGGUGAUUGUACGGAGAAGAAAAGGCAAACUUUUUCAAUUGAGUAAUUAUUUAUUAAAGAUGUGCUUAGUGGCUCAUCAACAAAAAGACACACUGAAAACCAAAGUUAAUACAACACUUCAGUCAUCAAAAGCCUAUUUCAUGAAGAACACUGUACAAGUGUAGGGACUCAAUGAUGGAUAAGACAAAUCACUAGGUCCUGAGGAUCCUGGUCUGAUUUAGGAGACUGGACAAGGAGUCUGGCCUCAAGAUGAGCCUGGCUGUGAGCAGAGAUGGAUCAAGAGCUUUAUUCACAUUUGGGUUAUUUGGGAGUUGGUGUGGUGUACACCAGGGAUGGUAAAGAAUGAGGCUACAAAGCAAGAAUUUCUCCUGAGACUUUGAAAGGUCUAAGUGGCAAGUUUGGUACAGCUAUAUUAUCUAACACCAGGAUAGAGUCUGAAAUUUGAGCUGAUAAUGAAGACCUUUUACAGUUUUGAGCAGAGAAGAAAACAUGAAGCCAGGGCAUUCCUAUAUUUUAGACUGUCAACCAGUGGCUCUUUUAACAGUGGCAUGGGGGACGAGGGCUUAAAAAGGACUUUUUGAAUAGGUAAUACACACAAUAAAAUUCAAAGAACACAAAUAAGAUUUCCCCAACCCCUACUCCCUUACAUAAAGGCCACCCACUAUCAACCAUUUCUUGUGUAGUCUAUGGAUUCUAUAAACAUUUAGUGUGUAGAUACAUACAUACAUGUAUAUACACAUGCUUGUGAAUUAAAGAUGGUCACAAAUUCUUUGCCACUCUUCUUAUGGAAUAGUGGAAUCAAGUUCCCCUCUACCUGCAUCCGGAAGGGCCCUGUAACUGGCUUAGAUCCAGAGACUGCAGAAGUUAAUUAUAAGAUUUCCUUUCAUCCGCUUGGAACCAAGUUGCCAUGCUGCGAGAAUCCCAACCAAUAUGAAAAGGCCACAUUAAGAGAACCAAGGAGGGCCAGGCCAGUGGGGCAGCAGCUAUAAUUUAUACACAAAGAUGUUUUACUAAUUUUCUUAACUAUAAAGACAUUUAUAGAUUACCAAAAAAAGAAAAUCCCACAUUAUUUUAGUUAACAGAUGUCUCAAAUUUGAACAAAUUCUCUGCAAAUCCACUAUGUUCAUUUAAUACUUUUUCAAGCUAAAUUUAGUGUCAAAUAUUUGUGCACUAUAUUAUAUCUUUAGGGUCCACUAGCAAAUGAUUAGGAAAUCUGACACUUGUUUCUAUGAUUUUUCUGUUUCAAAAUUUUUUAAAAAGAACAAAACCAGCAAUCUCUUUAUCCUCAUUUACUGGGGUAUUAUUAAAAAACAGGAUAUGCCUAUGGCCUUACUCUAUUUUGGGUACAUUAUGACACACAGACAUUAAUAUUUACCAGCUGAGGCCCUUUAAUCAGUUGUCAGUAGAAUUGAACCUGCUUGGCCAUAGGGGAAUGAGGUAAAUCUUUAGAAGCUGGUGAAUACCAGCUUUUCAAAGGACUCUUACAUGGCAGCUGACUUUCUAGCUCUGUGGUAAAACAGUGCAAUUACACAUAUAAUGGGUGCUCAGUCAGGAAAGGUGGCUUCUCUGCAGAAGUGCUGUCUGAGCCGAGAUCUCAAAUUAGACAAAGUAGAGAAGAUGGACCCAGACAGAAACAGCAUGCGCAGAGACCUCGUAGUAAAAGGCUUAUCAAGGACUGAAAGAAACCAAGGUGGCAAAGAUGAGGCGAGAGAGAUAAAGGCUAGACUGUACAUAUUAAGGUGAGCAGAGAAUGUGUUUGUUCAUCACUUAUCCCCAAUGUCUAACAGAAUUCAGUUAAUAAAACUAAUAAACCGAUAAAGGGUAUCUAUUAAAUGACCAGUUUGACAAGAUGAGUAAUUACCAUAGGCUAUUGCCUCUUCCUCUAACUCAGCCCUGGAGGUAUUACACAAAUAAGAGGGAAGUUAGAGAUCUGAGAAAUUAAAUAUGAAGAGUCCCUUGGAGAAACAGAUCAUGAUUGGGUCCCACUAUACAAGGGCAAGAAAUGGAAGUCCAGUGUAGAAAAGGGUAGAGUGCCAUGGGAGUAGGGGUAAUCUUGGUGGUGACGAAACUUCUGUUCUUUUCCCCUAUCCUAUUCAUUGCCUCAUGUUCAACUCAUCACUUGCUGGAGUGGCCAGCAUAAUGCAACCUUACUUACUAGCACCUGGAGUUCUUGAGAGAAUUGCAACUGAGGGGAAGGAGAAGCAGUUUGACCAUCUGCUGCUCUGGUGAAGCCCUGAUUCUAACUCAGAGGUUCUGUGCCUUAAGGCUCUCUCUCUUCUCCUUCAACUCUUUAGGACACCAGGGCCUGGGCUUGGCUCCUCUCUACCGGCAGCUGACACAAAAUUCCCAUCCUCUACUGUGAGCUCAUAGGGUAAAAAUAAUCAGUCAUCUGGGAACUACAGCAUCUGCUAUAAAAGACAACAGCUCAACCACUAUUCUAGAUGAAAGAGAAUAAACAAAGACCAUAGAAUAAAAUGUCAUUAUUAAAAGUGGAACAUUUAUAGAAUAUAGGGGGCUAUAAACUAAGGAUCCUGGUUAGGAUCCUUAUAUAUGCAUACAUAUAUACUUCAGUGUUCUAUCAGCUGAUAGGGCCUAGAAGCAACAAAACCUCAGUACCAAGAGCACAUCUAGUGCCCAGAUCUUGGUUCCUUAGUAUUAUUCUCCAAUAAAGGAAGCAGGGCUCCUUGUGAGUACCAGGAUAAAACUUACAACCAAAUGGUUGACUCUGGGACUGGGACAGGAAAAAUACAAGAUGAGCCUGAACCAUCGUAUAGGGCCAUAGUGAGAAGUGCUUAAAACAACCUCACAAUGAUGGGGGCAUAUUGAAGGGACAUAGGAGCCACCUGAAACAGCUCCCAAAGGCCAAAUCUGGAACACUUUAACAAAAUUAAGUAUUAUUGGAUUUUUUUCCUAAAGUAUAAAUUGAAUAAAUGAGGGAGAAGAGACCAAUUUCUUUCUGAAGAAUUCCAAAUAACUUAUGUAGACCUUCUACCCUCAAGGAGAACACAACUCCCCUCUCCUUAAUUAUGGGCUUCACAUAGUGACUUUAUUCCCAAAGAGUACAGUGUUGGGUGAGGGGGAGUAACUUUACAGUGGAGAAAACUGGCAAAUAAGACCUCAGCCAGGUGAUCAAGAUUAACAUCAAUAGGAGAAAAUCAUAUUGAUAGUAUACACUCUUGAUACAUGAUGAGAAUGGCACUUUACUUCUGUGUUCUCUCAAAAUUCCUUAAUGCCUAGCCUAAUCCUGAGAAAAACUCAAUCCUAAUUGAAGGGACUUUUUACAAAACACCUGACCCAAAACUCAAGCUCAUCAAAAACAAAGAAAGUCUAAGAAGCUGUCACAGCCAAGAGGAGUCUAAGGAGACGUGAUGACUAAAUGUAAUAUCCUCAAUGGGAUCCUGGAAGAAAGAACAUUAAGUGAAAACUAAAGAAAUCUGGAUAAGUAUGGACUUUAAUAAUGUAUCGAUAUUAGCCCAUUGUGACAAACGUACUAUGCUAAUAUUAGUGGAAACCGGAUGUGGGGGUACAUGGGAAUUUUUUGUACUAUCCUCCCAACUUUUCUGUAAAUCUACAACUAUUCUAAAAAAAAAAUAAUAAAUUUCAAGGUCCAUUUUCCAGAUGGUAGUUAAGUCCCCUUAACAAGCAGUACAGAAUAUUCCCACACCCCAAAGGCCUUUACUGGAGAACAGGAAGGAACAGAGUAACGGGCUCCACUCCUUUGAACUAGGCCUUAGAAUACUAAAUUGACAAAUACAUGACUCAACAAGUUGGCUCAUUAAAAGUGUUCCUAAAUAUCACUAAAGAGGAAGAAUGUUGCUAAGCAGACAAUUCUAAGUAUUACAGCUGAUUUUUUAAUUCAGUGAAAUUGUUUUCCAAGAGAAUAUUACCUGGAGCUGUUCAUAAAGCCCUAAUUAAGCAACAAGAUUCACUGGAGUCAUUGUCACUCUUUUAAGUUCCCAAUUAGUUGCUCUUACCAGGUUGUUUUCCUUUAUGUGAAUUCCUAGGCACUGAGCCACUUUUUUAUGUGCCUUUGGGACCUGCAGAAUUUAUUCCUCUGGGGUCCUAUUUUCCUGAUUAAAAUGUGAGACAUGAUCCAAAAUUUCAAUGCAACAGUCCAUUGACAAACUACAUACACUACUUCUCUUGGUGUCACACAGGGCUGUCAGACAUCUGAGGUCCUGAUGAAGGCAGGUUUCUCACUUAGGUGAAGGUAUCUAGGAUCCAAAGAAGAAAAGAAUGAUAGGCUGUCCUUAAGACAGGGUCCUUUUCUAACAGAAAUAAAUUGUUUGCACCCAGACUAGGACCAACUCCACAGGAGGAGUUACUCCACUCUCAGAGGUGCAAAACACUGCCCAAAGGUACUCAGCCACAACACCAAAACAGUGCUUGGAGCCAUACCUCAGCAUAAGGCAGCGUUUACUCUUCCACCAGUGUAACACCAUCCAAGGCAUCGCACUAGCCUGGAUAGCUGACAACCGCUGGAUGAUUCCUGAAACAGCUUUG